rnacentral:misc_RNA from 1 species
GUUCAACUGCCGGUGGCUGAGCAACCUGAUGUUCCACUUGAGUGGCCUUCUGCUCACAUGGAGGAACCGGCGCUGCCAGUUCUACAGGAACACAUGGCCUCCAGAUGGUCUCUUUGCCAAUGUCCAUGAGAGCUAUGCCCAAGGAAGAUAGCUCAGCUCGGAUAUUGUCACUUCUCCCGAAAUCUUUGUUUUUUCUUGCUUGUGUUCUUUCUUCAAUCAAACGCAGUAUAUCAUCUUCCAUCAUCCCUGCUCUCUUCAGUGCUUUAUCCUUCAACUGCUGCAAAACUUCAGAGUAAGUAGAUGAGGACAGCAAUCCAAGAACAUCUAGAACUUGUUCCAGUUCCUUCUUCACAUUGAC